rnacentral:rRNA from 1 species
GACAGAGGGUGCAAACGUUGUUCGGAUUUACUGGGCGUAAAGCGUGUGUAGGCGGCUUGGCAAGUUGGAUGUGAAAUCCCCGCGGCUCAACCGUGGACGUGCAUCCAAAAACUGCUUCGCUAGAGUCUCGGAGAGGAAGGUGGAAUGCUUGGUGUAGAGGUGAAAUUCGUAGAUAUCAAGCAGAACACCUGCGGCGAAGGCGGCCUUCUGGACGGAUGACUGACGCUGAGACACGAAAGCGUGGGGAGCAAACAGG